rnacentral:rRNA from 1 species
AACGCUAGCUACAGGCUUAACACAUGCAAGUCGAGGGGUAACGAGAGGGAAGCUUGCUUUCCUUGUCGACGACCGGCGCACGGGUGAGUAACGCGUAUCCAACCUGCCCACAACUAAGGAAUAACCUUGCGAAAGUAAGACUAAUACCUUAUAAUUUCCUCUGAAGGCAUCGGACGAGGAAUAAAGAUUUAUCGGUUAUGGAUGGGGAUGCGUCUGAUUAGCUUGUUGGCGGGGUAACGGCCCACCAAGGCAACGAUCAGUAGGGGUUCUGAGAGGAAGGUCCCCCACAUUGGAACUGAGACACGGUCCAAACUCCUACGGGAGGCAGCAGUGAGGAAUAUUGGUCAAUGGGCGAGAGCCUGAACCAGCCAAGUAGCGUGCAGGAUGACGGCCCUAUGGGUUGUAAACUGCUUUUAUACAGGAAUAAAGUUAGCCACGUGUGGUUAUUUGUAGGUACUGUAUGAAUAAGGACCGGCUAAUUCCGUGCCAGCAGCCGCGGUAAUACGGAAGGUCCAGGCGUUAUCCGGAUUUAUUGGGCUUAAAGGGAGCGUAGGCCGUCUGUUAAGCGUGUUGUGAAAUGUAGAUGCUCAACAUCUGAAUUGCAGCGCGAACUGGCAGACUUGAGUGUGCGCAACGUAGGCGGAAUUCGUGGUGUAGCGGUGAAAUGCUUAGAUAUCACGAAGAACUCCGAUUG